rnacentral:rRNA from 1 species
UGAAGUAAGACCCCUUAUAGAUGAUAAGGUAGAUAGGCUAGAAGUGGCAGUACGGUGACGUAUGGAGCGGACUAGUACUAAUGGUUCGAGGACUUAACCAAG